rnacentral:rRNA from 1 species
GGGUCAGCAGGUUGGUCGUGCCACCGGUACGUACUGGUCUCACUGAUCCCUCCUUCCUGAAGAACCGUAAUGCCAUUAAUUUGGUGUUGCGGGGAAACAGGACUGUUACUUUGAAAAAAUUAGAGUGUUUAAAGCAAGCUAACGCUUGAAUACAUUAGCAUGGAAUAAUGAAAUAGGACGAUCGAUCCUAUUUUGUUGAUUUCUAGGAUUUACGUA